GACGAACGCUGGCGGCGUGCUUAACACAUGCAAGUCGAACGGAAAGGCCCUGCUUUUGUGGGUUGCUCGAGUGGCGAACGGGUGAGUAACACGUGAGUAACCUGCCCUUGAAUUUGGGAUAACUUCAGGAAACUGGGGAUAAUACCGGAUAGGAGCUCCUGAAGCAUGGGGGGGGUUGGAAAGUUUCGGCGGUGUGGGAUGGACUCGCGGCUUAUCAGCUUGUUGGUGGAGUAGUUGAUUUCAAAGGCUUUGACGGGUAGCCGGCAUGAGAGCGUGAACGGGCUCAUUGGGCCUGCGAUACGCCGCAGACUCCUACGGUAGGCAACAGUCGAGAAUAUUGCACAAUGACCGGAAGCCUGAUGCAGCAACGCCGCGUGCGUGAUGACGGCUUUCGGGUUGUAAACCGCUUUCUCCUGUGACGAAGCGUUAUUGACGGUAAUUGGUAAAGAAGCAACGGCUAACUACGUG
rnacentral:rRNA from 1 species